rnacentral:rRNA from 1 species
UACUGCCUAUCAGAGGGGAAUAACAGUGAGAAAUCAUUGCUAAUACCGCAUAUGCCAUAAUUAUCGCAUGAUAGUAGUGGGAAAGAAGCAAUUCGCUGAUAGAUGAGCUUGCGUCUGAUUAGCUAGUUGGUGGGGUAAAGGCCUACCAAGGCGACGAUCAGUAGCCGGACUGAGAGGUUGGACGGCCACAUUGGGACUGAGAUACGGCCCAGACUCCUACGGGAGGCAGCAG